ACCCGCCCCACAACUCUUUCUCUCUCUCUUAAGUCUUAACCCUCUUCUGCUCUCCUCUCCUCUCAUCUCAACCCUAACUCCUACCACUCUCUCCCUUCUCAUCAAGAAAUUUUGAGAUCUACUCCCACUCUCGAAGAUUAUCGCUCAAUUUUAAGAAAUACGACAAAUUGAAAACGAAAUUCAAAGACUUUGAGGAUCGGCAGACGCGACCACCGCUGCAAAGUUGUUCGUGUGAAUUGAGAUCCAAGGUACUUCAACUCUGUUGAUGCUCAUGAAAGUGAGAAACUUGGUGAAGAUCCUAAACGUAUCCCGAACAGCCUUAUGCCCUUACAUACAACAUGUUGUUGUCGGCAGACCGCCUGAGCUCAAUGUAUAAGCAUUGACUAUCCUACAAGGGAUAUACAGGGUUAUGUAGUUGAAAGAAAUGAUCUUUGAUCAUUUGCAUGCAAGACCUUUCCAGUACACUCCUCUAGGGAGAACCAUUGUUGGACCUCUUGAGAAUGUCAAGACUAUCAUUAAAACUCAUCUCUAUAAUGGUCAUUGCCGCCUCUGGAAUUGUUAAACACGCGGAUGUUGUAGCGCUUGUAGAAACUUUUUUUUACAAAGUUUUCAACAGAUCCAACCACCGUUGCUCAAUUAGUUGUCCAGGAACCAACCUCAUUCACUGGUUCGGAGAUUCGAUGAUUUCGCCUUGAUGGGUAUGCAGCCAAUGUUGAGCUUUCGGACCAAAAAGGCUGGUGGUGGAAAACAUACGGGGUGAGUGUUAUAGUCCAUUGACCUCUUUGUUAUCCUGAUUAAGAUGUACUACAAGUGGGUUUCUCAAUCUGAUACUCUAAUGUAAUUGUUGGUCCUUGUGAGGAGAAAUUUACUAAUCCUCUUUCAUUAUCCUGAAUUUUUCUCUAUCUAAGUUCCCUUCUGAUUGAACUGCCAUAUCUUAGACCUGGAAGUUGGAUAUUUGGUGGAGUAACAUGUUAUAAUAUCAAGGUUAGUUCAAUAGAGAAUUUUAAUAUGAAUGAUUAUUCCAUUAGCAAUAAUAGCUUGUGAAUUCCCUAGCAGAUUAUUUCACUUAGCCUGCUUCUCCCAUAACUUUCACUUUCUGGUGUUUUUUCUAUAUAUUUAUGGUCAAAUACUAAGAUAUUUAUUGUUUAAGGUCACACAUAUUUUAUAUAUGUUGAUAUUACUUUUAUGCUUUGCUUUAGUUCAGAUGUGGUGUGGCUUUCUCAUUUAGGUGUAUGUUCCAUGUACUUUGUUUCUUUGUAGCUUUGUGUUCAGUAAAAAGCGAAACUUGACUUAGGUUUUUUGUUAUGGACGUAUCAGGUUCUGGCUGAGCAACUCUAUUGUUGGGCACUUAGGCUCAUUUUUCUAGAUGAUUUAAGCUUCUACUUCGAACAUGGUUUGACAAGCUCCUUUUCAAGAUAUGAUUGAUUGGUUGUCUUAAUUGGCAUACUUGUGAACAAAUUAAAUUUGAAGGCAAUUUAACGAGUUUCUGUGCAUGGACAAAGGGUCACAUGUUAUUUACAAAAUCAUGCCUUGAUUAUGUUGUAUAAUUUUACUCGCGAAAUAUAAGGGCAUAUUUCUAGAUAGUUUGAAAUACAUGGUAGAUGGAGAAUGUUUAGAUGUUGCUGGUUUAUUUUCUCAAAUUCUAGGUAAAGUUCAUACAGGACAUUGUUUGAAAGGGUUUGUAUUGGUGCUUGAGAGAAAAAGUGUCUGUGAGAGGAUGGUGUUGUCAGGUUGUGGCAUGGGUGCAAAUAUGCAAUGAUGCACAGAUCAUUGCUGGAAUAGUCUGUGUUACUGCUCUAUUAUUUGUAACUUGGGUGAUGUUCAAUUUUUUUUCCUUGGCUAGGCAAGACGCAAUACACUAUAAGGUCUUUCUGCAAUAGAGCUUGAUUAAUUAUAACAGAACAAACCAAAAAGGGAAGUAUAGCUAUAGACUAGGCAAUCAGGUCUAGAGAGUGCCUAGGGGUCUUGUUGCUAUGCUAAUUACUGCUUAUGUUUAAUAUUCUUGAAAUUAUUUGUUAGCUGUUUGGUUAUAAAUUUCAUUCAAAGAACUGGAAUUGAAAUUGUUCGCACUUUCAUAUGUUUAAUUUUUCUACUGAUUAGGUCCUUAGAUUUCAUGAUUGUUAACAGAGAUUCAAGCUUCUUAGUAAGCAGUGGCUAAAGUGCUAAGGUUUCCUCUCACUUAAUUUCCAUGCCCGCUAAUCUUGGUCAAAUCGCAUUUUGUAUUUUGUUCUUCUCCAGAUUGAUGAAACUGUCAAGUCAUUUCUUCAUGGUCAAAGGAAAUGCCUCGUGCAGCUACGAAGAUGACCAAGUGGUUCAACACCAACAGUUAUGGAGAAUCUUAUCAAUUUUGACAAUGCAUACUACAAAAUACUCCUUGAGAUAGAAUAAACGAUGCACUCGCUUUAGCUACAACUGAUAUCGGAAUUUCAUUUGGACUGUCAGGUUUUGCACUCGCAAUGGAUACAGGACACUAAUUCUAAAAGUCCAACGACCAUCAGAAAGAUACCAGAAGCCAUUCAGAUAUAUCCUAGAAAGCCUCUAGGACAAUUGUCGAAAAUGUAAUCAUAUCAUUCUCUACUAGUUCUAGAAUUAGCCCUUGUUGGCUAUGCUGUCAUUUGCCAGAUGAUGCCUGCUAGUAAUACUGGCAUGCUGCUUCUCCGGGGAACUAAAGAAUCCAAGAAGACAAUUGUUAUGAAUAAGGCCUGUUGUGAUAAAACUGUUAAGGAAGAAGUCAAGUGUCGUAGUUCAGUUAGCAAAAGAAUGAUGCAGUCGAGUAUUACAGAAAAGUCGAAAGAAGGGUUUAGGCAUUAGUUAUUUUUGGAUUGGUUUUAGGCUUUAGUUAUUUUUGUAUAGGAUUUAAGCUUUAGUUAGUACGGAAUAACUACUAUUUGUAUUUAUGAUGGUGUUGACAACAUUUCUUAUUUAGGGAUGUUAAAGGUAUAAUGUUUAAGAAGUUUUAUAAAAA